AUUGAACGCUGGCGGCAUGCUUUACACAUGCAAGUCGAACGAGUGGCGAAGGGGGGAGGAAUAGAUGGGAACGUACCGAGUAGUGGGGGAUAACCAAUCGAAAGAGGGGCUAAUACCGCAUAUGAGUGGAGCGGCCGAUAACUGAUUAGCUAGUUGGUGGGGUAAAGGCCUACAAAGGCGACGAUCAGUAGCGGGUCUGAGAGGACGAUCCGCCACACUGGGACUGAGACACGGCCCAGACUCCUACGGGAGGCAGCAGUGGGGAAUUUUGGACAAUGGGGGCAACCCUGAUCCAGCCAUGCCGCGUGUAUGAAGAAGGCCUUCGGGUUGUAAAGUACUUUUGUUAGGGAAGCGGUACCUAAAGAAUAAGCACCGGCUAACUACGUGCCAGCAGCCGCGGUAAUUC
rnacentral:rRNA from 1 species